CAAGGAAUCUUGGGCAAUGGACGAAAGUCUGACCCAGCGACGCCGCGUGAGGGAUGAAGGCCUUCGGGUCGUAAACCUCUUUUGCGGGGGAAGAAGAUCUGACGGUACCCCGCGAAUAAGCCACGGCUAACUACGUGCCAGCAGCCGCGGUAAUACGUAGGUGGCAAGCGUUGUCCGGAUUUACUGGGCGUAAAGGGCUUGUAGGCGGUUCGUUAAGUCUGGUGUGAAAUCUCCCGGCUCAACCGGGAGGGGUCAUCGGAUACUGGCGGACUAGAGACGGGUAGAGGAAAGCAGAAUUCCCGGUGUAGCGGUGAAAUGCGUAGAUAUCGGGAGGAAUACCAGUGGCGAAGGCGGCUUUCUGGGCCUGUUCUGACGCUGAGGAGCGAAAGCGUGGGGAGCAAACCGGAUUAGAUACCCCCGUAGUCC
rnacentral:rRNA from 1 species